CCAAGAUGGGGGUGGGAGAAGAGAGAAAUGUUCUGUAGAAAAAGAUUGCCUGAGCAGAUUCUCCACAGAAAAGGGAGUUGAAAAAUCUAGUUGAGCAGAGGAGGAAAAGUGGCUGUGUGAGUUCUGAUUGGAUAUUUCUGCAAGCAAGAGAAGGAAAGAUAUUAUUGCAGGGCUUUGAUUCAGCAGACUAUACAGAGUUGAGGACCAAAGAUUCCAACUGAGAUUCAGGAAAUGUGUUGAAUUAGGAGAGGUGCAGUGAAGUAAACUCUAGCCCACCCAAAGGUUACUCAGACACAUCUAAACUCUAGCAAAAGUCUCCCUUGCCUGAGACAGAGAGGUGACUUACAGUAACAUAGAUGGAGGGGAUGUAACACAUUUCACUGGGACAUCAAAUACUGCACCUUUGGCAACUGGCGUUCUGAUGUUAAUUCUGGAAAGCCCAGUAAGUUGGUUCAAAUGGGUUUUUUCUGUCUUUCAUACACCCAAUCACCCCCCAAAUAGCUUUUUUUUAGACACAAGUUAAUUCAUGGACUGUUACUUUAUUCAAUUCUAUUGGUUAAUUAGAAAAUGCAUUAUUAACUUACAUCCAGCAGUGUGCACUGGAAUGUUAUUUUGAACUAUAUACAUUUUUGUACUGGGAUUUCAGUUUCCACAGUGUAAUGACUGAAUCUGCCCACAGAUUUUUUCAAAAGUUGCUUUAUUUAUGUAUUCAUAUAUUUCAUGAAAUAUAUUAUUUUGAUCUGUGUCUAUAUAUAAUUUUUAAAACCAGCAUAUUUUAGACUUCUUUCAGAAAAUUGAGACUUUCUAUUGUUAGCGUUUAACUUUAUUACUUCUUUGUGUUCAAUUAUAUGAUUAUUUCAGAGCAGUUUUACCAUAAAUGAAAUUAUUAUGUACUGCAUUUAUAUGACCUAGCAACAAACAGAAGAAACUUGACUUUAGGCUCAAAAACCUUUAUUAAAGAAAAGUCUCAAAUCAGUACCUGAAAGAGCCUCUAGCUCAGGGAUAGUGGCCAAGAAAGAAUGCAAGAGCGCUAGUAGGGUAGGUUUAAAAAAUGUCCUGACAGAGUCAAGGUGAUGGCCAUUUUUAGCUGCCCUGCUAUCCAUCACCUCUUUCAGCCAGGCAUACUCCAUCAUAUGCAACAGCCUCAUGAAUUUAUGCAUCAAGCUGUGCAGCCAGUCGUGCCGAGGGCUCUGGUGACAAGUGAAAUUGCUGUGCGCCUCAUUUAGCUGUUUAUUGCGCCUGAGUACGUGUUGCAGCUGUCAUCCUACGAUGGGAUGAUAGUGCUCGUUAAUAGACAAGACAGGCAAAUAAUGAUGGAGACUACAGCAAGAGAUGCUUAGCUGCCAAUAGGCUCUCAGAAAUAUCAUAUACAUCCACAAAGUUUUCGAUCAAAAAUAACACUGCAGGAAAUACUGGGGCCAGCAGCUUUUUUUUUUUUUUUAAAUCUGACUAGCAACAGAGGUUAAACUUUUGAAAAAGUAGAGCCCAAUAUGCUACAUAAUUGAACUUCCUGGUGUUUGUGCUUUUUUCAGUCUGCUAACCUUUGAAAGGAAUGGUUAGGAAAUGGUAAAAUAAACUAUUGUGGUAUCCCCCCCCCCUCCCGGUUGGUUCUCUAAUUAAAUCCCCACCUGACAUAGGGCAAAAUAUUCUGCCUUAUUUGAACAUUGUGCCUAACUGUACUGCACCAGGAAUUUGUGAGCAUUGUUUUGGGGUUGUUUGGAAGUUUUGUUUUAUAAAUUUCAGUUUCUCAGUUAUGUGGCAGUCUAUCAGCCCAUCUGUGUAGAUUCUCUGAAAAAAUGUGUUGUCUUAGUGGCAUACAGAAUCAUCUUUGAUACAAAAAUGAAUUAUUCUGCAAAAACACAUUUCUUGUGGGAAAUAUAGGACAGAAAUUAAUACAAAUUUCUGUUUCUGAAACUCUGUCUGUAAAGAUAGUGCUGUGCUUUGCCUUUUAUCUGUACAGUGAAAUCUGUGAUACGCUGCCUUUUACAACAUUUACCUUGCUGUGAUGUACAAAAUUCGUAGCUCCAUGUAACAGCUUUCUAGACUAUAGCGUGAAUUUUUUAAUUUACUUAUGGGAAAAUCAAUUUUGUUUACUACUUAAAUCCACUAAUUAAAACAGGAGAUAAAGGGUUAAUGUGUUUGAUGUAAUUAGAGAAAGUGCUUGUGUUUGUUAGAUGAAGAAACUUUAUGUAAACGCUCCUGGAAUUUUCUGUGGAAAAGUACUCUUACACAGCAAUUUAAUUUGUAAUUGGUAGGCACUUUACUACAUAUGAAUUGUAAGGUUUACACUUGGAAUAGAUGUUAAACAAUAUAAAACUCUAUACACAUGCUCAAAAGAUGUAAUUGCAGUGUAUAAUAUGCUAUAAUAAAAAUAAGAGAAUUGCUGGCUAUUUAUUCAGGUUUAAUAAACAUUUUCUAAAUGUAACUGACAUGGCUUUUCAGAUUAUUAGGAUAUAAUAAGUGAAAAGAGAGACAGCAAAAAAUAAUCACAAUAUAUAAUGUAAUUUAUAUGUCCAUUAGGCUGCUAUCAGUGUAACACUGACCUGGCAGAAAUGAAUAUACUGUAGAUUUAUGGUACUUUGCAAUUAUAGCACCUUUCAUGUGUUGGCCUCAAAGUGUUUUAAAAGGGGGUAAGUAUUAUUCUCAUUUUAUAGAUGGAGAAACCGAUGAAAGUAAAGUUAAAUGACCUAUGGUUUGUUAUUUAUAUUGCAUUCUAUUACAUUUAGCAUAUUGUAUUUAUACUCUUGUUUGUUGUUUAUAUUAU